UACCGUGCGCUCUCUUCAGAAAAGCUGGCUGGUUCUUCUUGUCGCAGGUUUUACAGGCGGUGUUUGUGAGGUGUUAGUGAGGCUUUCCAGAAGUUUCUGUCGACUUCCCAGCGUUAGCAUCCCACGUUAACUUAAUCCAGGUGUGCAGAUACCCAGCCCAGGCAGCGAAGAGAGCCCAGCCACAAGGAACACUUAAAGUUGAGGCAGCUAUACAGGCUCUCCUGUGGUCAUAUCAGUGUCACUUUGCUACUCCUGUAUAUGAGGUUUGCCAAGAAAGGCUGUGUGGGAGCUGGCAGUUGAAUUCCAGGCUGCAUACUACUUGAUGCCCAAAGCAUUUUAAAGUAUCAUCUUCCUGGCUUGUAACAACCACAGCCAGUGGCUGUGGAAGCUUAUCCCACCAGUGUCAGUGCCCAGUAGAGACUAUUGACUCGGCGUCAAAAUUAAACUCUGUGUGUCUUUGUAUGCACACAGACUACUUGUCAGUAAAGAGAGGGAGGCUUUGAAUUCUGCAUUCUUCAAGAAAAUUUAUGUGGAAGUAAAUGAAACCUUUUAUCCAUUAAUAGUUUAUUAUUUAAUCACUGGUUUCUUUUGGAGCACUAGGCAAUUGGAAAGGAAGGAAAUACGAAUGAUUUGGAUAUGACAAAUGCCGGUGUGUGUCUCUUGAGGACGGUUAGGUGAUGGCUGAGCCUGUUAGGAGGAAGGGCUAUUCUCUCUGUAGGGAGAUUUUACAGCACUUCAGAGUACAGACUCUUUGCCAGCUAUUUUAAUAUUUAGGCUUACUUUCAACUUCUGUCCUGUCUUUGUCCCUGUCUGUGCUGUAAUAACAAGCACAAAUGGAAGCCAGAAGCUGCGUGUUGGCUUUCCGUAGUUCAGCAGAGCUGCUGUGAAAAGGCUAGACAUCUGAAUGCUUCCAAAACAAGACCAGUUAUUGCAUGAGACAUUAGAAUGCCAAAUAAUGUGUACACAAAUAAUGCAGCUCAUUGCUAUUUCUGCAGUCGGACAAUAUCACAGUAAGGGUCUUCCCCGCUUCAGGGCUGGACUAAGCAGUUGUGGAAUGGAUUGCACUACAAAAAGCUCCUAGGGAAAUGACAUCAAAAAUUGGCAACAAUUAAUCUAGAAUGCUGAUUCCAAGAAUAAUAUUUAUCUGAAAAAUAGUGAAUCAAAUCAUGCAGGUCUAACUGGGCCUACCAUUAAUAAAUUAGACUAGUUUAUUUUUGUAUGAGUCAUUAAUCAUAUUACAGUCAUCACUGUGGUUAUCUGAAAGUAUUUUAAUUUAAUCAAAAUACAGUUAAAACUCAUUUAAACAAAUUUGGCUUUAAUUGUACUGCCUCACACACAGAUUAAUCUUUUCUAGCAUGGUGUAAAGAAUUAAGACACCAACAUAGGUCUUUUUUUAUACAUAUCUGACUGGAUUUAUGCGUAUGUUGGUUUUGAGCAUGCACUUUACAACACUUUGCUUUUUUCCUUACUUUAGGAUAAAAGAGAACAAUAUGCCAUGCUCUGUGGCUUCCAUGACAGUGUUCGUAGCUUGUACGGGCCACCUGCUGUGGUGUAACGUAACUGCUGCAGCGCAUUGCUUUCCUGGCAUAUGCAUAACCUAACAGCUGGAGAGUGUGAGCCCUCUGGAUUCAUCAGGAAAUCGCUUUUAUGUGUACCUACGCUGUAUAUUUCAAGCCAUUUGUAAAAUAAUGCUAACUCCUAGGUUACAAAGACUACACCGUGACCGUUGUUUGCAGGGGCAUGUGUGGUUUCUCUUCUGAACUUCUGAUCAGAGUGCAGUCAAGAACAAAUUCAGACCCUAAUGCAGUGAGCUUUGUUCAGCCGGAAUUUGAAAACCUCCAAGGACAGAGACCCCGCAGCCUCUCUGACUCCUGCUACUGUGCUUAAUUAUUCCCACAGUCAUUUUUUCUUCUUUCUGUCCAUGCUGAACCUCUCUAGUUUCAGGCAAUGUCCCUGUCUCUUGCCUUCCCAACUGGCACUGCUGGGAAGAGCCCAUCCCCAUCUCCUUGAUCCUCCAUCAUCCAUAGGCAUGGGGAUGUUGCUUGGUGUCCCGAAGCCUUCUCUGCUGCAGAAGGGCUGGACCUCAUAGGGUUUGCACAGCCCAGUUAAGGCCUCAUGGGUGCUGAGCAAAAGAGGGAUCAUUCCUGCUGCCCCCAGGGAGAAACAUAGGGGAAAAUCCUUGAGAGCAAGCUUAGGGCUGCCUUUGAGCUGGUGUGGGAGCCCAGAGGGCUGGCCAGCAGUGCUAGAAUGUGGGGAGAGCUUGUGGGACUGUCACGGUGCCUCAAAGGCAAGCGUGAGUUUUUAUUGAACUCUUGCUGAAUGGAUUUGGAGAUGUGUCAUGGUUGGGGUGACCUGAUGGGGCUCUGGGAAAAUACAAUGAAGGUUGCAGUGACUGGUGGGAAACUGAUGCUGAGCACAAGAUUAA